rnacentral:sRNA from 1 species
UUUUUUUUUGGUUUUGUUUCCUGUU